rnacentral:rRNA from 1 species
CGGCAGGCCUCAUACAUGCAAGUCGAACGGUAACAGAUCGCUGUGAUCCCUUCGGGGUGAACUUGAUGCUGACGAGUGGCGGACGGGUGAGUAACGCGUAGGAAUCUACCCAGUAGCGGGGGAUAGCCCGGGGAAACUCGGAUUAAUACCGCAUACGCCCUACGGGGGAAAGCGGGGGACCUUUCGGGGCCUCGCACUAUUGGAGGAGCCUGCGUUGGAUUAGCUUGUUGGUGGGGUAAAAGCCUACCAAGGCGACGAUCCAUAGCUGGUCUGAGAGGACGAUCAGCCACACUGGAACUGAGACACGGUCCAGACUCCUACGGGAGGCAGCAGUAGGGAAUAUUGCACAAUGGGCGAAAGCCUGAUGCAGCCAUGCCGCGUGUGUGAAGAAGGCCUUAGGGUUGUAAAGCACUUUCAGUAGGGAGGAAAAAGCUGGGUUAAUACCCCAGUUCUAUGACGUUACCUACAGAAGAAGCACCGGCUAACUCCGUGCCAGCAGCCGCGGUAAUACGGAGGGUGCGAACGUUAAUCGGAAUUACUGGGCGUAAAGCGCGCGUAGGCGGUUCAUUAAGUGGGAUGUGAAAGCCCCGGGCUCAACCUGGGAACUGCAUUCCAAACUGACGAACUAGAGUACGAGAGAGGGGGGUAGAAUUCAGAGUGUAGCGGUGAAAUGCGUAGAUAUUCUGAGGAAUACCGGUGGCGAAGGCGGCCCCCUGGCUUGAUACUGACGCUCAGGUGCGAAAGCGUGGGGAGCAAACAGGAUUAGAUACCCUGGUAGUCCACGCCGUAAACGAUGUCUACUAGCCGUUGGGGGGCUUGUCCCUUUAGUGGCGAAGCUAACGCGAUAAGUAGACCGCCUGGGGAGUACGGUC